rnacentral:rRNA from 1 species
UACAGAGGUCUCAAGCGUUGUUCGGAUUCAUUGGGCGUAAAGGGUGCGUAGGCGGCGCGGUAAGUCGGGUGUGAAAUCUCGGGGCUUAACUCCGAAACUGCAUUCGAUACUGCCGUGCUUGAGGACUGGAGAGGAGACUGGAAUUUACGGUGUAGCGGUGAAAUGCGUAGAUAUCGUAAGGAAGACCAGUGGCGAAGGCGGGUCUCUGGACAGUUCCUGACACUGAGACACGAAGGCCAGGGGAGCAAAACGGG